UACGUAGGGGGCAAGCGUUGUCCGGAAUUAUUGGGCGUAAAGAGCGUGUAGGCGGCUGGGUAGGUCCGCUGUGAAAACUCGAGGCUUAACCUCGAGACGUCGGUGGAAACCAUCCAGCUAGAGUCCGGAAGAGGAGAGUGGAAUUCCUGGUGUAGCGGUGAAAUGCGCAGAUAUCAGGAAGAACACCCGUGGCGAAAGCGGCUCUCUGGGACGGUACUGACGCUGAGACGCGAAAGCGUGGGGAGCGAACAGG
rnacentral:rRNA from 1 species